rnacentral:rRNA from 1 species
GACGAACGCUGGCGGCGUGCUUAACACAUGCAAGUCGAACGGAAAGGCCCUGCUUUUGUGGGGUGCUCGAGUGGCGAACGGGUGAGUAACACGUGAGUAACCUGCCCUUGACUUUGGGAUAACUUCAGGAAACUGGGGCUAAUACCGGAUAGGAGCUCCUGCUGCAUGGUGGGGGUUGGAAAGUUUCGGCGGUUGGGGAUGGACUCGCGGCUUAUCAGCUUGUUGGUGGGGUAGUGGCUUACCAAGGCUUUGACGGGUAGCCGGCCUGAGAGGGUGACCGGCCACAUUGGGACUGAGAUACGGCCCAGACUCCUACGGGAGGCAGCAGUGGGGAAUAUUGCACAAUGGGCGGAAGCCUGAUGCAGCAACGCCGCGUGCGGGAUGACGGCCUUCGGGUUGUAAACCACUUUCGCCUGUGACGAAGCGUGAGUGACGGUAAUGGGUAGAGAAGCACCGGCUAACUACGUG